rfam:Glycine max cultivar Williams 82 chromosome 10, whole genome shotgun sequence.
GGCCUAUUAGUUCAAUUGGUUAGAGUGUUGUGCUAAUAAUGUGAAAGCUACAGGUUCGAUUCUUGCAUGGUCCU